GAUGAAAAUGUGGAGGUUCAGGGCCCGGGGAGUUCUGAACGACCGCAGCGCCCAUCUCCGGUUUCCGUUCCCGUAUUAACGGUUGUAAUGAGAGGCGUCUGCUCCCUGCUCCGAAAUUCCACCCCGGCCAAAUCUGACCACUUGCGAGGGCGGCCGUUAGAAUCCUGGUGCAGUCGCAGCCGUGGCAUCCCAGCCGUGCGCCCUGUCACUGGCCCGAGGUAACCCCACGCCCGUUUGUCCGCCAGGCAGCGCCAACACGGAGAGCCUAGAAGACCCAGGUUUACGGUUUCGCAGACGCUUGUACCACGCGCACGACCCAUCCGAGUGGUCUGGCCAUCGUGCGGUUCCCCAAGCAGACAGGAACGGCGACAGGACCAUCGUGUUCAGCAAUGGGCAGAGGGAAAUCCAAACGGCCGGGUUCACGCAGCGGGAAUACCCCGAUGGCACCGUCAGGACCGUGUACUGCACGGGCUCCCAGGAAACCCGGUCCGCCUCCGGGACUGUGAGGAUCAGGCUGCCUAGACACUAACAGCGCGACGGCAGUGAGCGGGCCUUGUCCUCACGCGGAGACUCCCCCAGUCCCCGGGGAGGAAACCCUUCUGGAACCAUCUUGUCACGAGAUGUGGGUUUGUGUUGUGUUUUCGAUGAGCUCUCGUGCUCUGCUCUGCCGGACGUGAGCCGUCCUGUGUCAGUAGCAUAACCGCGUCAACCAGUGUCACCCGUGCCGUGUUACGGAAGCCGCCAGGACGCCGGUGACGCUGUCUGAAGUGACCCAGGGACAGCGUGCUCUCAGCUCUGGAGGAGGGCAGAGGCAUUCCCCGGGAUGCUGCCCCGGACGGAGGCCUUUUCCUUCCCGAGGACCACGGCCCGGUCACUGGUCAGUUAACAAGUGAAACUAAUCUGUUACAGAAAAGCUGCCUUUGCUUUGGCUAAAAAAGAGAAAGAAAGAGAGAAAGAAAAGAACGUGCCGAUUGUUUUAUUUUGAAUCGGCUUAUCCCGAGAACUUCCACUGCAGUAAACAGGACGGCGGGCUGGGGUGCGGGACGAAGAGAACGGAGCUUCUGUGCAGGGACGGGGAGCGGGAACUAACGUUCGUGUUUGUCGGUGAACCGCGUUCAGGCCCCAGACGACGGGCCUGGCCGGUGGUGCCUGACGUGUCCCUGCCAGCUCUGGAGCGGUCUCGCUCGGCGAUCCGGAAUCAGAGCCGGAUGACUCACGCGGGGCUUGGGGCGCGCUGGCCGUCGGGACACACUCAGGACCACGCGCCCUGAGCCGCACCUGCCAGCCGCUGGAUCGCGCCCCAGUCCCGUUCCUCGCGCCUCCUCAAGGCUUGGCGCGGGACAGGAAAGGUCUGGGUUCAGAGCGUGACGCUCUAGCUCCGGCACACUCCCGCCCACCUGCCCUGUCUGCCUCUGCCCUCCCACCCACCAGUGCCCUCUCCCAGCACACCUCAGGGACAGGCCCUUCCCGAGGACCAGCCCUGUCUCACCCAAGCCCCCUCUGUUGUCCUUCCCAGGCUUGUGCGGCCGCCUCUGCUCUAGAAAGCUCCCCACGGAUCCCGCUCCCGGCAGUCGGGCAGGUCCCCCCAGUCCUCUGGCCCCCUUGUCCCAGGCUUGUCCCCAGCUGCGUUCCCACCACCUACUUACCUGUGUCCCUCCCAAGGGGCCUGGAGCAAGUUCGGGCAGACAUCAGGUCUCCCACAUCUUUGACGCCCUCCCCGCAACGGUGAGGAGAGGGCCUGGAGGUUUCAGAAGUUAGUUCUGGUGUAAGUGAGCAGGUCCGUAACAGGACACGGUCCUCGUAUGUCUGAUUAUCGUUGGUUCUGUAAAAUCAGAAGCACUUUGAAGGAGGACUGCCACAGUCACAAUUAGCACUGUUUAAUGCCCAGUUUAUCCAAUGUAGCUUUGAAAUGACUUUUCCUGAGCAUUUGAAGAUUGGUGCUAAUUAGAUUAGACGUCCUUAAAUAACUAAACUUUCCUUUGUAAGGUUCAGUGCGGCUGGUGCUUUAGAAUAAACACCCCACGCAAAAGAUAAAACCCGAUGCUUAACGACCAUUUCACACGCUCACACCUUGGACCAAUCCUUCAGCCUGGAUUAGUUUCUCACUCGUCCGUAGUUAAUUUUCAUGCCUUCCCAGAAUUGUCACUACAUUCAUUUUGUCUUUUAAAAAUUUUGU